AGCGAACGCUGGCGGCAUGCUUAACACAUGCAAGUCGCACGGAGGGCUUCGGCCUUCAGUGGCGGACGGGUGAGGAACGCGUAGGUAUCUAUCUCUGGGUGGGGGAUAACUGUGGGAAACUGCAGCUAAUACCGCAUGACACCUGAGGGUCAAAGGCGCAAGUCGCCUGGAGAGGAGCCUGCGUCCGAUUAGCUAGUUGGUGGGGUAAAGGCCUACCAAGGCGACGAUCGGUAGCUGGUCUGAGAGGAUGGUCAGCCACAUUGGGACUGAGACACGGCCCAAACUCCUACGGGAGGCAGCAGUGGGGAAUAUUGGACAAUGGGCGAAAGCCUGAUCCAGCAAUGCCGCGUGGGUGAAGAAGUCUUCGGAUUGUAAAGCCCUUUCGGCGGGGGACGAUGAUGACGGUACCCGCAGAAGAAGCCCCGGCUAACUUCGUGCCAGCCGCCGCCGUAAU
rnacentral:rRNA from 1 species